rnacentral:rRNA from 1 species
UACAGAGGUCUCAAGCGUUGUUCGGAUUUAUUGGGCGUAAAGGGUGCGUAGGCGGCGCUGUAAGUCGGGUGUGAAAUUUCGGAGCUUAACUCCGUAACUGCAUUCGAUACUGCGGUGCUUGAGGACUGGAGAGGAGACUGGAAUUCAUGGUGUAGCAGUGAAAUGCGUAGAGAUCAUGAGGAAGACCAGUGGCGAAGGCGGGUCUCUGGACAGUGCCUGACGCUGAGGCACGAAGGCCAGGGGAGCAAACGGG